GCCUUGUACACACCGCCCGUCACACCAUGAGAGUUUGUAACACCCAAAGUCGGUGGGGUAACCUUUUAGGAGCCAGCCGCCUAAGGUGGGACAGAUGAUUAGGGUGAAGUCGUAACAAGGUAGCCGUAGGAGAACCUGCGGCUGGAUCACCUCCUUUCUAAGGAAUUAAUCGGAAACCUACACAUUGUCGAAACAGAUGUUCAGUUUUGAGGGGUUUACCUCUCAGCUUGUACUUUGAAAACUAAAUAAUAUCAAUUUCUAAUAAAAUCAAGAAAACCGAGAACACCGCGUUAUUUGAGUUUUUAACGAAUUAUAAUCGCAUACUCAAUUAACUUGACUGAUCUACGAUCAGUAAGGUUAAGUUAUGAAGGGCGCACGGUGGAUGCCUUGGCA
rnacentral:misc_RNA from 1 species